GCUCAUCAUGAGGAAGUGAGCCGUGGCGGGCGGCGGAGGAGGAGCACGUGUACAACUCAUCUUCCCAAGCUAUCAAUGGCAAGUGAUAGAGCAGUCCUUAUAAAGGAGUCUUACUCUUAUUAUUGUAGCAGUAUGAUACUAAACUUUCCAUCAUUUGCCGUACACUCACAUGGGCAUAGAGAUUAACUAGGGAUUAUCGUCUUAUAUGGGUCUAAGCCCAUCUAUAAUCCAACAGUAGGGAGGUCCAA
rnacentral:lncRNA from 1 species